rnacentral:rRNA from 1 species
GACAGAGGGUGCAAACGUUGUUCGGAAUCACUGGGCGUAAAGCGUGUGUAGGCGGCUUCUCAAGUCGGGUGUGAAAUCCCAGGGCUCAACCCUGGAAGUGCAUUCGAAACUGGGUAGCUAGAGUACUGGAGAGGAAGGUGGAAUGCUUGGUGUAGAGGUGAAAUUCGUAGAUAUCAAGCGGAACACCGGUGGCGAGGGCGGCCUUCUGGACAGAUACUGACGCUGAGACACGAAAGCGUGGGGAGCAAACAGG